rnacentral:lncRNA from 1 species
UGAGGCUUCCCCAUGAGGGAGAUGUCUGCACAGCAGCUCUGAGAUGGGCCUCCGGCAUCCUGCCUGUCCCACGCUGAGCUCAGCAAGCCAGGGAGCACAGAGAAGCUUCUGUUGGCCCGCCUCUGCUGCUCAGCUGGCAUUUUGUAUGUCUCGGGCAUUCUUGGUGUGUCUUAGGUCUCUUGCUCUGCGUUUUCCUUUACCAAGGAAGGCUAGGCCAGGGGGUGAGAAGUGCCCUCGUUUUCACAGAACGUUGAAGGAUAUUGCCAGCUACCUAUUUGUUGUUGUUUAAUCACUGUGUCAUAUGCACCAGGAGUCGCCUAGGCUGUUUAUUCCCUUUGGAAAAAAAAUGUGGCAGAAUGUUAUCAGAUUAAGGAAGUAACCAUAGACAACCUGCCACAUCUGUUGGGACGGAAGACUGAAGUCAGGCGUCCUGGGCUCUUAGCUGAGCCAAAUCAAAAGCAGAAAAGGUGCCCAUUUUUCCUGGACAUACAUACUCAAGUCGGCAGUGUCAAGGCUGGUCAAGACAGCCCCAGAAAGGGAAGGGACAAGAAAGCCAGCCUCUGCCUCCUGCAACUGGUCGCCAGCCAGGUCUGUGGGCCCUCAUGCUUCGGGUGUUGGGUUAGUCGUGCAGAACCUGAGCCAUCAUGUGGUCAGAGAUAAAUAGAAUGAUGCCUCCUCGAGGCAGGCUAGGCUGCCAAAAAUAUUUUGCCCCUUAAAUGUCCUUGCUGUCCCAAUCCCUAAACAAGAAAUGAGCGGUCAUCACCGACUCAAGCCAGUUAGGCUUCUCUCCCUGUGGGUGGAAACCCACUGGCUUCUGCGGAGCCCCGGGCAGCACAGAGAAAGCUUAAAAGAUAACAGAGUGUAGCAUCCGGGCCCAGGCCACCUCUUCCUCAGGUGGGGUGGGAGCUCAUCAGGGAGGGCGGAGUCAGCUGCGUGGGGAGCUGAGUUCUUGUCAGCAUCUACACUGCUCCUGGAGGCCACUGUCCUGGGCGUGCUCCCCGUACCAUCCCACCCCUGUGCCCGCCCCUCAGCCUGGAGCCUCAUGUUUGGGACCACAGGGUGGCUUUCUCAUUCCGCUCCUUGCCCAUGAGGCAGAGCAGAGGCUCCCACGCGUCCUCAGUCACAGCACUGGGCUGAGGAAAUGCUGACAGCUGGGACCGCGAUGGCUCUGGACCUCAGCGCCAACAGCAGUGUCACCACAGCACUUGUGCUCCUCCCAGACCUGCCAGGCGCAGAGACUGGGGCCAGCAGGCCCUCCAGGCCAUCCUCAGGCACGCUAGACGUCAGGGUCAUUUUAGGAGUGUUUUCUGAAAGCUGGUGGUGGUGACUGGUAAGGAGGGUUAAUUAGGAGACGCACUCAGCGUCCCCCCUGAAGCCGAGACUGCCUGCUGGUUUUCUGGUUUGCUUUGGUUCUCCCAUGUCCCUUACCAGGACUGCAGUUGGACUUUCCUUAGUCGUGCCUGUUCAUCACUCAACCUUGCAAGCUCUCAAAAGCCAUGAGCAGUCUUUGAGAUAAUUUGCCCGCGCAGCUCCGGGCCUCGCUGGAACUCCGCAGAAGGCCUUCAUUGGGUUGGAGCUGCCCAGGGCCUGGCCGACACCAGGCCUGACGCACUCUGAGGCUGGUGCUUGAGAUGUGGUCUGAAAGACGUGUGGAUGAGCCCUGGCAGGGGACCAGGCUGCCCUGAGGAUGCCCCACAGGCAAGGAAGGCAGGCUGGAGAGCUGGCCCCGCCAGGCUUUCAUUGGCACUGUUAUGUGCACUGUGACCAUCAGCUCAUCCAAGCAGGAGCCAGGAGGUCAGCUUUUAUGAUCUUGUCACCGGGGCCAGGCAGGGCUCCAAGGCCACAUGGCAGUAAUCACCGCCUUGCCAGUCCUGCAGACUCCAGGCUCCAGCCAUCCCUUGGCCAUCCUCCCUGAAACACUGCACUCCCGAGCCUUUAAAAGAAAGACGUAGACGAGCGAGGUGCCCACGGCGUAGCACACAUUUUCUUAGGUGUAAACUCAUUUCCUUCUCAUGACCCCAUUAAGGAACCAGGCACAGCAGCCCACUCGCACAGCUCUUGUCCAGGAGUCAGGGUGGGUGGAGGCCAGUCAGGAUGCAGCUGAUGCAGCCCACAGUCUUGGGAACCUCUGAUUCCCAAGUGGCAGUGUCUGGGGCCAGAGCCAGAGGAGGCCAUGGUCUGUGUGCCACUGGAUGUUUUAUAAAGGAGAGCAGUGGAUGAGGGUGAUAGAUUGUGGUCAGGGAAGCCCACUGUUGCUCUGGGAGGUGGCUUUCCUGUGUCAAGGUGGUUGUCUAGGAGAGCAGGAGGAGUCUGUGGGCCUCUCCUGGCCCAAGGACUGAGCAUCGUGGCACCCUCGGCUCUCCUGCCAACUCACAGCGUGUUGGUCCAAUCCUGGGCUACUGCUUGGGCUCGGGGACUGCAUUAGCCAUGAUGAUAAUUGUGAAGGCUCAAAGAAGCACCCAAAUCUCAACAUCUGGCACCCAACAUCAGAGUCCCCACUUGUCAUGCAGGGCAGCUCUCCAGGUCGGUUUCCUCACACAGCUCAGGAGCCUUCUGCUUGCUACAAUCUUAACCCAAGACCAUUUCCCCAAGAGCACAGCUAGGGAAGGGGACACUUGACUGGCAAGUGAUACACGUCACUUGCCCUCAGCCCAUUGUCCAGAACUGAGCAUGUGGCCUCACCUGACUGAAGCAGAACAGUGAAGAACAGUCCACUCGUGCCUGUGGACUGAGGAGGAGAACCAGGCAUGGAGGGUGCUGGAAGUCCCCCUUGUCCUUCAGCCCCCAGUACAGCAAAUGUUCCCCACGAACACGCUCCUCUACUGCGUGGAGGAGAAUCCAGAGACCCCAUCUAGCCGCCACCUCCGACUCGGCUCAGCGAGGCCACCCUAGGGCUGAGUGGCUUCCCCUCCGCGGCCCUGAUGCGGGAGGUGUCUUGUCUGCUCCCUGCGCCACAGAGGAGUGUCAGAGAAGGAAAGAAUGGUACACUGUGAUGUCACAACACCUGUGAUGUUCCAGAGGCUCCCCGGACAGCCAGCCGAAGGCCACUUAGCCAAGGCUCUGCAGGUGGCCCUUGUUCUAGAGGGUUCCACUUUUGGGGAGGAAUUGACCUGUUGCAUUGUUUUCUGUGGCCUCUAGCUUCAGGCUCUGCCAGGUUCCACCCUCUCCCUGUCUCCAUCUUCCCCUUGGGCCAGGUCCAAGUGAGACACAGGACACCUGUUGUCCCCACAGGCAUGCAGCUCCCAGUCCUCGGCGGAGGAGGCCCUCGCACAGACUCUGGGAAGGCUUGUGGGUUGCUAUUCGUUUUGUUCUGAUCAGACUGAGUUUCCGGAACAUAUCAGGGCUUUUGUCUGACGAUCCAAUCGCAGCAUGAGCCAGAAACCACCCAGGGACCCUGUUCGGGACUCAGUUUUCAGAUCCGUUGCGCAUCUCUAUGGCCUCAGUCUCAUUCUUCUCAAGUCACAUGCUCGCUUUUCCCGCAUCCGCCGUGUUAGCUGGACAGUUUGUCGAGCCCGUGUCCUUUGGUGCAUGAAGUGAUAAGCAGGUGAGAUUCGAUUCCCACUGCGGCAGGAGUGGCUCUCCUCUGCUGUCCCUGGAGGACGUUCCCAGGGUGAGAGGACAGCAGUUCUGCCGCAGAGCUGUGAGGGCGGAGGUCCCCGGGUUAUCACAGCAGUUUCUAUGGUUUCUAUUGCUCUUCGGGGCCCAAAGUCUGAAGAACCUGGACGCUGCACCUUCAGUGUCUGCUCGGGAACUGGGGAGCUCCCUUCUGCACACUUGUCUUUCUCACAGACGUCACUGAAGGCGACCAGCAGCAACAAGGACAAGCUCUUGACCUUGCCGUCUGUUUCUGCCACACAGCUCCUUUUGCUUAUGUUGGUUCAUUUGUGUCCUUGCAGCAUCUACUGGCAGCCACCUGGUGACACUGGACUGCUUUGCCCAUUAGUGGUCCUCAGCUUAGUGGUUACCUUUAGCUGAUCCAUCGGGUUCCCACUGACUGCUUUAUUUAAAUUACACUCUUUUUGAAUGAUUUUAGGUUUCACAUGCAGUUUCUAAAAAAUAGUGCUGAGAGAGCCCAUCUGAACGCUGGCAAUUACAUGACGUUUUCCGUGGUAACAGUCUGUGAAAGGAGCGUGGAGUCUCACACCCGCGAUGGUAUCAUUUGAGAAUUUCCCGCCGUCUCUGUGAGCUUGCUGGGGCUAUAGUUGAGCUUACUUUGGUUUUAAGGUGGUUUGGAUUUCUUUUGUGUUCAAUGGUGUGUCCACUCCACAUAUGCCUGCAGGGCACUUGCGAGGUGCCAGUGGUGCUCUGCCCUGGGCCUGCGGCAGAGGCCAAGGUAGACUGGCCCUCCCUUUGCCAUGGGCACCUCUCACUGACUUCCCUGAGGGAGAGGGCAUUGGCGCUUCAGAUGUCAGGAUGCCACAGAAUAGACCAGCAGGUGGGCAGGGAGAAGCUGGUCGAGCUUGCCAGCGAAGGCAGGAGCACAAGGGAGGGCAGGAGCUGUCUGGACAGAACGCAGGGGUCUAACGCCGGGGGCAGAGGGGCUGGGGACUAGAGGGAAGGAGGGGACCAUUUUGGGCCUCUCGUUACCACUCGAGUAUUCAGCUCAUGAUUCCAUUAACUGAUUUAUUGACAUAGCUAGUGCUUAUAAUUGGGAGCAUAUCCAGAGGGAAUAAACGGGUCUCACAGGAUAAGUUUUCCCUGAAGUCCCUCCAUCCCUCAGGCACCUACCUCAGAAGCAAUCACCAUUCCUAUUCUGGUGCCUUUCUGUCCAGGGACAGCCUGAGUAGAUAGCAGGUGAGAUUUGAGUCCCCCCUGCAGGGAUGGCUCUCCUCUGCUGUACCCCGAGGACGUUCCCAGGGUGAGAAGACAGCGGUUCUACUGCCCAGCUUUGAGGGGCGGAGGCCCCUGGAGGCUGAGAGUGGGAGCAACCUGUGGAGUUAGGAGUCUGGGAUGCAGACAGAGAAGGGGGCUACCUGUUUGGAGAGGUACCCGUGUGCUUUCCCAUAUUCUGGGGUCGCACUGAGGACAGAGCCGUUGUCCUCACUGACAAAUACGCACUUGCCUGAGGUCAUUAGUGAUAAGUGUCCAGGCUGAGAGUCCCAGCCAGGGAUCACUCCAAAGCCUAGCUUUCCCUCCAGUUUAAAAAAAGGUAAAACACGUGUAACAGGAUUUACCAUCCUAACCAACCCUGAGCCCCCGGUUGGGGGCAUUCAGUGCGGUCAUGCGCUGCGCCUGGCGCCACCAUCCACCUGCAGAACUUUCCUCUCCCACACUGACUUGCCUUCCUUCCCUCCCCAGCUCCAGCCCCCGCCCCCACUGCUCUGCCAUCAUGAGUUUGGCCCUUCUGGGUGCUGCAGGUAAGUGUUUGUCCUUUAGCUACUGGUUUAUGUCACUCCAAGUGUCCUCAAGGGUGGAUGUCAUUACCCUGGGUACGUGUUUGAUUGCAGGAAUGGUGGGACCUUACUCUGUGUACAAUUAGAGAAAUGGAAAAUUGUGCUCCAUUUGUAUACAAUGAACCGAAGGGCACUCUGCUGUCAUAUGUGUCUAUGUAUAACUUAAUAGAAC